rnacentral:rRNA from 1 species
AGUGAAUAGAUACCCGGGUAGUCCACGCCGUAAACGAUGGGUACUCGGUGCAGGGGGUAUCGACCCCUCCUGUGCCAAAAAGCUAAACGCAUUAAGUACCCGCCUGGGGAGUACGGUCGCAAGGCUGAAACUCGAAAGGAAUUGACGGGGGCCCGCACAAGCGGUGGAGCAUGUGGUUUAAUUCGACGCAACGCGAAGAACCUUACCUGGGUUAGAAGGUGGCCGGACCGGAUGUGAAAGCAUUCUUCCCCGCAAGGGGCCUGCUACUAGGUGCUGCAUGGCUGUCGUCAGCUCGUGUCGUGAGAUGUUGGGUUAA